GACGAACGCUGGCGGCGUGCUUAACACAUGCAAGUCGAACGGACAGGCCCUGCUUUUGUUGGUUGCUCGAGUGGCGAACGGGUGAGUAACACGUGUGUAACCUGCCCUUGACUUUGGGAUAACUUCAGGAAACUGGGGCUAAUAUCGGAUAGGAGCUCCUGCUGCAUGGUGGGGGUUGGAAAGAUUCGGCGGUUGUGGAUGGACUCGCGGCUUAUCAGCUUGUUGGUGGGGUAGUGGCUUACCAAGGCUUUGACGGGUAGCCGGCCUGAGAGGGUGACCGGCCACAUGGGGACUGAGAUACGGCCCAGACGCCUACGGGAGGCAGCAGGGGAGAAUAUUGCACAAUGGGCGGAAGCCAGAUACAGCAACGCCGCGUGCGGGAUGACGGCCUUCGGGUUGUAAACCGCUGUCGCCGGUGACGAAGCGGGAGUGACGGUAAUGAGUAAAGAAGCACCGGCUAACUACGUG
rnacentral:rRNA from 1 species